GGGGCAGGUCGGGCGAUCGCGGUGUUUUUGACACCGAGGAAGGUCCGGACUCCACAGGGCAGGGUAGCGGCUAACAGCCGUCCGGUGAACACGGUGGCAACAUUGUGCAAACCGAGGAACAGGGCCACAGAGACGAGUCUGCAGCAAGGGCGAGCAUUUCGCUCGCACAGGUACGGUCAUCUCCGUACUUUGCGCGGUUUUCCGUGCAGUGUUGCAGGGUGAAACGCGGUAACCUCUAUCCGGAGCAACACCAAAUAGGCAUGCGCCCGGCCAUUGGCCGUACAGGGCGGCCCGCCCGAGCAUGCGGGUAGGUGGCUAGAGCGCGUCAGUAAUGGCGCGCCCAGAGGAAUGAUCGUCCAUUGGGCUUGCCCAAUGUACAGAAUCCGGCCUACAGACCUGUCCCGUCU
rnacentral:RNase_P_RNA from 1 species